GUGCUCACUUCGGCAGACCAUAUAUUAAAAUUGGAACGAUACAGAGAAGAUGAGCAUGGCCCAUGCGCACGGAUGACAUGCAAAACUGACCUAAGGAAUUUGACAUU
ensembl:snRNA U6 U6 spliceosomal RNA